AAACCUCAAACUAAGAGUAACACUUUAAAGAAAGGUCACAGUAUUAACCUUUUAAAGGCAGGGUUGGUCAUUUCCUCCAGAUCCACUUUUUAAGAUUCUGGUGUAAAUUGGGAGGGGGUGUAGACGGAGCACAGAGGGAAUGCUACUUUCAAAAUCAUGCUAGUUUUAGAAAAUCACCAACCCUGCCUUUAACUUGUUGCUUAUUAUUUGCAAGUA